AGCACAAUCUCUGUUUUAUUUUCAAUAAUCAAUCGCUUUUUACCUGAAAAUAAAAUAUUUUCGAGAAUAUUUUGAGGCACUAACAGGUCUUUACUAAAAUCCUUAAAAUGAUCUUUACGAUCAUGAUGAAUCAAAAAGGAAAACAAUUAGGCAAACAUAUCCACAUGGCACACAGAUCUGGGACCUUAGCAUAAAUCACAAAUCUGCCCAAUGUUUAGUACAGCAUUGUGUUUUAAUGGUCAGCAUAGUGCCUCACGCACAUAAAUGCAAACAUUGAAGUGUUUUAAAACAAUAACAGGAGAAAUAGUCACAGUGGAAAGAAAGUGAGUAAAUCCUGAACUUCACGUUGGAACUGAGCUUGGGGUUUCUCACUGCCUGGUAACGCAAAUCAAAGAUGUGGCUUUAUGCUGCGCACAGUUUUUUAAACCAGAUUUAACCAGGAAAAUUGGCCAUUGUUUGUCCUGAACAUGGAUUAGUGCUGCUGAAGGGCAAGGCGAAUGCUGUCAGGUCAAACUGGUAAAAUGCACUGCAUUGCCCUGCUGAGUGGCCUGACAAUGUUACAAGGUGAAAGGACAUUUUAUGUACAAACUUGGCUAUGAAGUAGCUUCUAUUUCAUCACCUGAAUUUUAGGACUGGUACAUUCCAUCUUUUCUAUAUCCCAUCAUUGCAAAAAAAAAAAUCCCUGUAGCCUGUUGGCCUGCUGUGGUUAUCAGCAGGGACUAGGAGGCGAGCAGGAACCAUGUUAUCAGGAGAGCCACCAAUUCAGAAUCUUGCUGAGGACAAGAUUGAACAUUGUGAUAGUACCUGCCUCGAUUACUUCCUCUGGCAGCUUGUUCCAUACAGAAACAUAGAAAAUAGAUGCAGGAGGAGGCCAUUUGGCCCAUCCAGCCAGCACCGCCAUUCAUUGUGAUCAUGGCUGAUCAUCCACAAUCAGUAAACAGUGCCUGCCUUCUCCCCAUAUCCCUUGAUUCCACUAGCCCCUAGAGCUCUAACUUUAUUUUAAAUUCAUCCAGUGAAUUGGCCUCUACUGCCUUCUGUGGCAGAGAAUUCCACAAAUUCACAAUUCUCUGGGUGAAAAUGUUUUUUUUCUCAUCUCAAUUUUAAAUUACAUCCCCUUUAUUCUUAGACCGUGGCCCCUGGUUCUGUACACCCCCAACAUUUGGAACAUUUUUCCUGCAUCUAGCUUGUCCAGUCCUUUUAUAAUUUUUCAUGUUUCUAUAAGAUUCCCUCUCAUUCUAAAUUCCAGUGAAUACAAGCCCAGUCUUUCCAAUCUUUCCUCAUAUGACAGUCCCGCCAUAUCGGGGAUUAACCUCAUGAACUUAAGCUGCACUGCCUCAAUAGCAAGGAUGUCCUUCCUACCACCUACCACCCUUUGUAUAAAAACGUUGACCCUCAAGUUCCUAUUAAAUCUUUCCCCCUUCACUUAAAUGUAUGUCCUCUGGUAUUUGAUUCCCCUAGUCUGGGUGAAACCGUAUCUAUUAAUCUCAUUAUUUUAUACACCUCUAUAAAAUCACCCCUUAGCCUCCUGGGCUCCUAGGAAUAAAGUUCUAACCUGCUCAAUCUCUCCCUAGAGCUCAGGCCCUUGAGUCCUGGCAACAUCCUCGUAAAUCUUCUCAGCACCUUUUCCAGUUUGACAACAUCUUUCCUAUAGCAGGGUGGCCAAAACUGAACUCGAAAUGUGGCUUCACCAAUGUCUUGACCACCCUAUCUCCGUGCAACAUCACUUUCAAGGAACUACGUACCUGCACUACUGGAUCCUUCUGCUCUAUAACACUUCCCAGAUCCCUGGCAUUCACUGUGUAGGUUCUUCCCUGAUUAGAUUUCUCAAAAUACAACACCUCACACUUCUCUGUAUUAACCUCCAUUCCCCACCCCAUCUGCCCAACUGAUGAAGAUCCUGCUGGAAUUUUUGACAAUCUUCUUCCCUAUCUACAAUACCACCCACUUUAGUAUCAUCUGGAAACUUACUAAUCAUGCCUUGUAUGUUCCCAUCCAAAUCAUUGAUAUAAAUGACAAACAGCAAUGAACUCGGCACUGAACCCUGCGGCACAACCCUGGUCACAGGCCUCCAGUCCGGAAAAAAAACUUCCACUAUCACCCUGUGCUUUCUUUCACAAAGCCAAUCUUCUAUCCAGGCAGCUGUCUCUUCUUGGAUCCCACACGAUCUAACCUUCCAGAGUAGCCUAUCCUGUGGAACUUAUCUGAUAAGCCCGAGAGAUUUGUCACCUUCAUACGCAUCAGGACGUUCAGCACCUCUUCGACCUAAUACUAAUACUGACUGCCUUCAAGACCCUUCUAUUGACUGACCCAAGUUCCCCCGUCUUCAUGCCUUUAUCCACGGCAAAAACAGAGGAGAAAUACUCAUUGAGGACCUUGCCCAUAUCCUGUGGCUCCACACAGACCUUUAAUUUCUGAGGGGCCCCAUUUUCUCUCUGAUCAUCCUUUUCCCCUUAACGUACAUAAAAUCUCUUGGGAUUAUCCAUUAAUAUUAACUGCCAGAGUUAUCUCCUGUCCCCUUUUUGCCCUCUUCAUUUCCUUUUUUCAGCAUGCUCCUCAGUUUGUGGAAACCCCCCAGGGAUUGACUUGAUCCCAGCUGCCUAUACGUCUCCCAUGCCUCCUUCUUAUUCUUGACUAGAUUAAAUCUGGUUGUAAUGCCUUCUUGCGUUCAAUUCCCUACAGCAAUUCACUCGUUAUACUGUGAGAUAGAUAAACAAGGGAAGUAAACGCAUGUGGUUAUAUAUAUGUUCCAUGUGAGGUGAAAAAGGGUGAAAAUUGGAGAAAUAAAAAAAGGGAGAAAUAUCAAAAAAACGCAGCCGCAAGUGGAAAAUGUCAGUCUUUUAAUCUGGUUUCCUCAGCAAAUAUUGGUGUAAGGUUCUUUAGAAGUAUGCACGGUAAUGAUUCCCACCUUCCUCGUGGUCCUGGACCACAUCCAUGAACUACUCCUCUGGCAACAGUGGGUUGGAAACGGGAAUAGCUGUAGCGAGCACUGUUGCCAUUUCAAAGCAGAACUGCUGAAAGGUGCCCUGUGCUUCAGCUGCUCUGCGGUGCAGGCAGAAUGAGAAGGGUGCUGUUCAGAGCAGAGAGCAGUGCAGAGGUAAUGCUGACCUGCUUGUUACUCGGAUGAAUGAAGGGAGAGAGGACACACAGCACAAGAUGGGCUGCACACUGCACGACACAACACAAAUAAAUAAACAGUUGCGUAUCCUCCGGCAACCGGCCUAGCUUGCCCACCAUCCCCAAGACAUGAGCCGUCGAACCCUUCCCUGCAUAUUCCCGAGACCCGGCGAGUUGGAGGAAGAUACACAAGGAGGUGGAUACAGUGGUCUUGAGGAACAGAGGGCACGCAAGCGGACUGACUGUAGGAAGCAGUGCUGUACACCUCGAUGAUGGAGUGGGCUGCUGGAGGUUCGGUUGCAUUGAAUGCCGUUCCAAGAGACCGAGCAGGCAGUCUGGAUUCGACCUGCAGCUGCACACAGCAGUGGAGGACACCAACGGCUAUGCUUGGCCAGGCCGACCCUGCAACAUCGCCAAGGCAACGGGCCUUCAUGGCCAGGUUAGGAACUCUGCACUUAUAACAAUUGGGACUUGAAAACGGCAUCAAACCUGGAGAUUCUUGUACACUGUCUCAAUGUACUAUUUCUAUACACUUGUUCUGUAUCUAAGAUGUGUAUGUAUAGUAAUAUAGCCACUCUUGAACCAAGGCUGGCGAGUUACAACCUCAACAUCACUUCAGUCAUGGGCUGUUUCUGAACCCAUGUCUUUCCAUUGUUCAUUGAUUUGCCAUUGCCUUGUUACAGAGUCAUAGACACAUCAUCAAAGAAUUGUAGAGCAUAGAAACCUGCCCUUCAGCCCAUCAUGUCAAUGCUGACUUUUUGCCAUCUACACUAAUCCCAUUUGCCCACUUUAGGACCAUGUCCUUUCAAACCUUGCCAAUUGAAUCAUCCGUCUAGCUGGUUGUUAAACAUAGUGAUUGUAUCUGAUCCCACUACCUCCUUUGCCAGUAUGUUCCAGAUGUCAACCAUUCUCUGACUAACUCUGAGAUUAAUUUUGUCCAUUCAGCUUAUUUAACGAGGUGUUCAUUGUUCUGGAUUUAUGAGCUAAAAUAAACCAGAUGAUUCUAUCAA